rnacentral:rRNA from 1 species
UACGUAGGGUGCAAGCGUUGUCCGGAAUUAUUGGGCGUAAAGAGCUCGUAGGCGGUCUGUCGCGUCGGCUGUGAAAACUCGGGGCUCAACCCCGAGCCUGCAGUCGAUACGGGCAGACUAGAGUGCUGUAGGGGAGACUGGAAUUCCUGGUGUAGCGGUGAAAUGCGCAGAUAUCAGGAGGAACACCAGCGGCGAAGGCGGCGCUCUGGGCCGGAACUGACGCUGAGGAGCGAAAGCGUGGGUAGCAAACAGG